AAAAAAGUGUAGAAAACAACAAACAAACCGCAAUAGUUUGGUAUUUUUUUCGGAAAAAUCUAAGAUAAAUACUAUAAUUUAGCAAACACCCUUCAAUUUGUUCCGCUAUAAAUCCGCAGAAAUUUUUGGGUUUUUUCUUUCUCUUUCCAUUUGCUGAAUUUCUUCAUUUUCCCAGGAAUUGUGUUACUUUUUUUAUCUGGGUUUUUACAAUGGGAGAUUGUUUGGUGGUGCAUACGGAUCGUAUUGUGAAGGCUAAUGGAGCUGAGAUUAUGGAUGGGAAGAAUCCUGAAAUGGUAGGGUCUUCGUCGGCAAUAGCUGUAGAUGAGAA
rnacentral:misc_RNA from 1 species